AGGGAUUGCCCUAGUAACGGCGAGUGAAGCGGCAACAGCUCAAAUUUGAAAUCUGGCGCAAGCCCGAGUUGUAAUUUGUAGAGGAUGCUUCUGGCCAGCGGCCGUUCUAAGUUCCUUGGAACAGGACGUCAUAGAGGGUGAGAAUCCCGUAUGUGACCGGCGCGCAGCCUUUACGUAGCUCCUUCGACGAGUCGAGUUGUUUGGGAAUGCAGCUCUAAAUGGGAGGUAAAUUUCUUCUAAAGCUAAAUACCGGCCAGAGACCGAUAGCGCACAAGUAGAGUGAUCGAAAGAUGAAAAGCACUUUGGAAAGAGAGUUAAAAAGCACGUGAAAUUGUUGAAAGGGAAGCGCUUGCAACCAGACUUCGUAGCGGUGUUCCGCCGGUCUUCUGACCGGUCCACUCAUCGUCGCGAGGCCAACAUCGUCUGGGACCGCUGGAUAAGACCUAAGGAAUGUAGCUUCCCUCGGGAAGUGUUAUAGCCUGUGGUGAUGCAGCGCGUCUCGGGCGAGGUCCGCGCUUCGGCAAGGAUGUUGGCGUAAUGGUUGUCAGCGGCCCGUCUUGAAACACGGACCAAGGAGUCUAACAUCUAUGCGAGUGUUCGGGUGUCAAACCCCUACGCGUAAUGAAAGUGAACGGAGGUGGGAAGCGCAAGCUGCACCAUCGACCGAUCCUGAUGUCCUCGGAUGGAUUUGAGUAAGAGCAUAGCUGUUGGGACCCGAAAGAUGGUGAACUAUGCCUGAAUAGGGUGAAGCCAGAGGAAACUCUGGUGGAGGCUCGCAGCGGUUCUGACGUGCAAAUCGAUCGUCAAAUUUGGGUAUAGGGGCGAAAGACUAAUCGAACCAUCUAGUA
rnacentral:rRNA from 1 species